GUCUACAGCCAUGCUACCCUGAAUAAGUCUGAUCCCUUCUGAUCUCAGAAGCUAAGCAGGGUCAGGCCUGGUUAGUACUUGGAUGGGAGACCGCCUAGGAAGACCAGGUGCUGUAGGCA
rnacentral:rRNA from 1 species